rnacentral:tRNA from 2 species
AAGGUCUUAGCUUAAUUAAAGUAUUUGUUUUGCACACAAAAGAUGUGAGAUAAAGUCUCGCAGAUCUUA